GGAGAGAUGGCCGAGCGGUCUAAGGCGCACGCCUGGAAAGUGUGUAUGCGCGAUGAGCGCAUCGCGGGUUCGAAUCCCGCUCUCUCCGCCA
rnacentral:tRNA from 1 species